rnacentral:tRNA from 1 species
UCCUGGUUAGCUCAAUUGGUAGAGCGACCGCCCCAGAAAGGCGUGGUCCCGGGUUCGAUCCCCGGACGAGGAC